AAUCAACGCUGGCGGCGUGCCUCAGACAUGCAAGUCGAACGAUUAAAGCUCUCUUCGGAGAGUGUAUAGAGUGGCGCACGGGUGAGUAACACGUAAGUAAUCUACCUUUGAGUGGGGAAUAACAGUCGGAAACGGCUGCUAAUACCGCAUAACGCAGCGGCACCGCAAGGUGACAGUUGUUAAAGGAGCAAUCCGCUUAAAGAGGAGCUUGCGGCAGAUUAGCUUGUUGGUAAGGUAACGGCUUACCAAGGCUACGAUCUGUAUCCGGUCUAAGAGGACGGUCGGACACACUGACACUGAAUAACGGGUCAGACUCCUACGGGAGGCAGCAGUCGGGAAUUUGGGCAAUGGGCGAAAGACCUGACCCAGCAACGCCGCGUGAAGGAUGAAGUAUUUCGGUAUGUAAACUU
rnacentral:rRNA from 1 species